GAUGAACGCUGGCGGCGUGCCUAAUACAUGCAAGUCGAACGCUGGAGAUCUAGCUUGCUAGAUCGAAGGAGUGGCGAACGGGUGAGUAAUACAUAAGCAACCUACCCACGAAGACUGGGAUAAUCUCUGGAAACGGGGACUAAUACCGGAUAGGUAAUCGGAAGGCAUCUUCUGGUUAUUAAAGGUUAAAAACACUGGUGGAUGGGCUUAUGGCGCAUUAGUUAGUUGGUGAGGUAACGGCCCACCAAGACGAUGAUGCGUAGCCGGCCUGAGAGGGUGAACGGCCACAUUGGGACUGAGACACGGCCCAGACUCCUACGGGAGGCAGCAGUAGGGAAUUUUCGGCAAUGGGGGCAACCCUGACCGAGCAACGCCGCGUGAGUGAAGACGGCCUUCGGGUUGUAAAGCUCUGUUGUAAGAGAAGAACGGUAGAUAGAGAAUAUCUAAGUGACGGUACCUUACCAGAAAGCCACGGCUAACUACGUG
rnacentral:rRNA from 1 species